rnacentral:lncRNA from 10 species
CUAUUUUUAAACCUGGCUUUUCAUGUAAGAAGGUUAAAACUCAAACUGAAUUUGAUUUGUUAGAGAAUUCAAAUCCUCAGGAUUAUGACAGGAAAAAAGAGAAAUACACACAGCUUUGAAAUGUCUUAUUUAGCACAGCCAGCUGCCAUGGAAACGUGAAAGCAGAUGACCUAGGCAAAAGAUCUUGUCGAGUGAUUUUAAUGAAGGUUUCUUUCCUGAAUGUCAAAUAUAGGAGACACCUUAUGAAUGUCCCUUAUAGUUGGAUUGCGUGUGUGAGCACAGUGAGUGGAUGGACUAGCAGGAGUAUAUGAUACCAUGUCAGCCCUGAUUCUAAGUCAUCUACUCCAUUCCAGCUUUGACCAGAGGACCCUCCACUGAAGAACUACAAAUAUAGAAAUCUUUCACUUGGACGUUCUGCUUCUUGGUUAUUACAUGGGCUGAGAUGGGGGUUUGCAUUUCCAGCAAACUCCCAGGUGCUGUUGAUGCUGCUGAUCUACAGUCUACACUUUGGGUACUAGAAUUUAAUAGUGACACACGGAGAGGAAACAUCAGAUUGCUUUUUAUCCGCAUCUAUAAGCCCGGGUCAUAACUGGAGAAAAAGCCACCAUCAACCCAGAAGGCCAACUUCCAUAAUUAUAUGAAUCGUUUGUGAACAUUUAUGGAUUAAAAUGUUUGAGUAAAGCUGAAAUCGGAUAUUACAGUCCAUGAAUAGUUCAUGCCAUGAGACAAAAAAUUAAAGAAAAAAAUUUCAUUGAUUAAACCAUUUGAUAUCAUUUGAGAUGUUUCACAGGAACAAGAAUCAUUCAUCAAAAUGUUAGAUAACUUAACGUUAGGAAAUUUCCUCCAAUUCCUGCCCACUCUUGGCCUAUUCCAGCCAAGUGUUCCCACCAGCCUUUGGUUUUGUUUUGUUUUUGUUUUUGAGAUGGAGUCUUGCUCCGUCACCCAGGCUGGAGUGCAGCGGCACAAUCUCUGCUCACUGCAACCUCCGCACCUCCAGGUUUAAGCAAUUCUCUGCCUCAGCCUCUGGAGUAGCUGGGAUUACAGGCAUGUGCCACCAUGCCCAGCUAAUUUUUUGUGUUUUUAGUAGAGAUGUGGUUUCACCAUCUUGGCCAGGCUGGUCUUGAACUCCUGACCUCAUGAUCCACCCACCUCGGCCUCCCAAAGUGCUGGGAUUACAGGCAUGAGCCACCGCGCCUGGCCUCCCACCAGCCUUUUAGCCAAGAGAUGAGCUCCUUUCCUAUCCUCCUGGGAAGGACAUGAGAAGGAAAUGUUCCCUUGGAAUCAGGUCCUAGAGAUACUGACACUGGAGUCUCCUGUCUAAUUUUUAGGUGACUGCUCUGGACUCCUUUUAUCGCAUGUUCUCUUACUUUUGUGAUCUCUGGUCCCUGACUAGUUUCUUGCCAGUCCUUUACCUUGCCCUUGUGUCCCUUCUUCCUCUCUUUUCCUUGGUUGUAGUGCCUGAGCACACCUGGACUCCACACUUCCACCCAGCUGCCUGUUCAUCAGUUUUCCAGUUUCUUUCUUCUGCCUGUGUAUGCUUCAUAUUUUCUCCCACAGCCUUACUUUGCCCUAGCCCAGCAUCCUGCCCUAUCCUCAGUGCAUCACUGUCCACAAGUCCAAUAUUAAAGCAAUACAUAGAUAGCAUUUUCCCACAAAGGCUUCAGAUGAUGACAGCUGCCAUUUACAAGAUCUGGAGUUACCUCCUCUGGGAGUCUUCCCUGACUGUCCAGGCUCCAUCAGUCUCCCUUGUACUCUCAUGGACCCCAGGUCUAUGGAGUUGAAAAGCUCACUUUACAAGUCUGUCACCCCUCCAGGGCUUCACUGUCUACUCGAGAGCAGAGGGUACAAAAGUCUUGUACCCUUCUGUAUUCCCCAAGGCCUUCUGUACAGUAGCGGGCAAAUAGGAGAUACCUAAGAUGACUUUGUUGCCUAAACCCCUCACUUGUAUGAGCCCCAGAAUCUCUUCGAACCACAGUGUCCCUGUUGUAUCAUAUCAUAUUGUAUAGCAUGCUGUCAUAUAAUAUUGAAUUGUAUUUUACAGAAGGUAAAGAGUGUAUGUUAAUUAAUGCAAAUUGAGUUAUUUGUCCUUUACACAUUAUUCAAAUUUUUAGACCACAAUAUAUUUCAUUUAGGCCUAAAGGCGUCAGUAUAAAGCUGCUAGAAGUACCAUAGUCUCAAAAAGCAGAAGAAUAGAUUGUUUUCAGAAUCCAAUUCCUAUCUCUCCACUUCCUCCCGAAGACAACCACUUCCAUGAUGACAGUCAAUGGAACAAAUAAUUGGUUUAUAUUUUUAAACAGAUAAAUCAUUCUUCAACUUUCCAAGUUCUAGGACCGUGGUUUCCAGAUCUGAUUUCGUGAGAAGGGGAGGAACAGAGAGAUAAGGGAACCACAUGCCACUUUUAACAUGGUGCCUUCACCCAGUCUGCUGGAUGUGGAAUCACCAGGGAUGCCUCACCCCUGCACCUGCUGCCUGCACCCCAGGCAAGAGUGGUGGUGUCCUAAGGAAGGGGGCUGCUUCUGAAUGCUCCUGAAGCUGCUGGCAUUCAAGGCACCAGAGGAAAGCUGCAUUGUAUGCACUAGUGGAUCUCCAGGCGAAAAAAAUGCCUUUACCCUGCACUGCUCACAUUUCCUACCAUUUAUCAGCUGAGAGCUUCAGGCAGAUUAUUCCAUGUCUCCUAUUUUUCCUAAUUAAAAUAGGGGUGAGAAAAAAAUCUACUUCACUCAGCUGGAAUAAGGAAUAAAAUGGGGAAAUGUAUACAAACGCACAGAGUGGUACCCAUCUGGAACAUACAUGGUGCUCAAUCUCUAUCGACAGUCCUUGCCACCAUUACCUUCUUUUCCAAGAAUGAAAACUCAGGACAUAAAGCUAAGAUAUUUGUAUACCUUCAUCUCAGAGCAAUCCCUUCAGCUUCUUCCUGGUUGCUUGCUAUGAAAUGAAUAUUGUCUCCCUCCCCCAAAUUCAUUUGUUGAAGCUCUAACCCUCCAUGUGGUGGUAUUUGGAGGUGGGACCUUUAGGAGGUGAUUAGGUCAUGAAGUUGGAACCCUCAAGAAUGGGAUUAGUACGCUAGUAAGAUGACACAUAUGAAAGAUGAUCUAUUUCUCAACCAUGUGAGUCUAUGGCAAGAACGUGGCCACGUAUAGACCAAGAAGAGGGCCCUGACUAUGCUGGCACACUAAUCUUGGACUUCCCAGCCUCCAGAACUGUGAGAAAUAAAUGGGUUUCUGUGAGAAAGCCAUCAGCCUGUGGUAUUCUGUUACAGCAGCCCAGGCAGACUUAACACAGUGCUUCUUCAUGAGUCUCAAUAUUGGGGCAGGCACUGAUUCCUGCAAUGGACACCAAGCCAUCUUCUCACCCUAGGUCUCCCACAAUUAUCCAGAGUGUGUGUGACACACACACACACACACAUUAUCUUCCUUUUUCUAGUCUACAAAAAGAACAAAGAAAAACAAGAUUCUAAAAUAAACAAAACAAAGCAAACAUUGUGCUAAUUGUUUCUUAUCCAUUUGCACACUAGGCAUGCCCAGAAUUUCUGAUUCUCAGGCUCAAGAAUGCCUGUUGCAAAAUGAGCCUUCUUCUGACUCCCUGUGACUAAAACCAUCAAGCCAGAUCCAGGCUGCUUAUCUGUGGUUCUCUGAGGUCAUUAUACAUUAAAGUAAAGCUGGAUCCCACUAUAAACCAGGUCAGAUGACUCACAUAUUCAGACCUUUGUUCAACUGUGAAUUCUGCAGAUUGUUAACACCCAUUCUUCACAUUGGAUUCAUGUAAACCUAGUACGUGGGUUGCUGUUACUUGUUAAAGAUGAGAAAAUGGUGAUGACUAGAAAUAAUAGCACUAGUUACAAACACAGGCCCUAAAGCCCAUAGUCUUAACUCUCAGAAAGAAGAGAGGAGUCUAAGGAGAGAAUUUAGAGAAUUUUUGUACUUAGGUGGGAAAAUAACUACAUCUUCAUUUCAUUCACCUCUAACUGAAAUUUAGCAUUUCUUUGAAGUUUGAAUGUAAGCAAAAAACCAAAGUACUAUUAACAGUAACUGUAUCAUUGAUGGAAAUCACAGGUAUUUUUAUAUCACAUUACAAUUAUUACAAACACCACAAAAUAAUGUCAUUUAAACUUAUUGCC